GGUGCUUGUUUUUCUAUUUUCUUAUUUGGUUAGUUAAACACAUUUUCGAUGACAAAAGAUCUAAGUAGUGUUUGGAGCAUAUUAAACAAAUUUUCAGAUGUUUGCUUCAUAUAUGUAUGACAAAAUAUCUAAGUAGUGUUUGACUUUAUAUUAAAUUAUGUUUGCUUCAUACCCGUAUGGCUCCAAAGGCAUCAAAUCUUAUUAUACAAUGAGUUUAGUUAACCUAAAAAUUUGUGGUCAAUGGUUGUCUUUGGCAUGUUGUCAAUAUGCCACAAAAUUUGAACAAAAGUCAGUGUUCCUUUAUGAAGUAGCUGCAAGUCAUUUUUGUGAUAUCAUUGGCUUUGUGUGAAUUCUUGUUUUUUUUUUUUUUUGAAAAGUGUUCCUUCCACAACCAGCUACAUGGAAUUCCAUUGUCCACCCAACUAUGAUUUUUCCUGCAUGCACGAGGGGAAAUUUGACAAUGUUAGAAGUUGAAGAGGCUUCUUCAUUCUCUUGCACUGGUUUUUGGUUGUAUAAUUGCUUCAUCUUUGGGAUGUCCAAAGGGUGUCACACCUAAGUACAACUUGAAGCCUCUUGUGCCAAUGCUGUUUGAUAUAAAACAUGACAUUGAUGUUGAGAAAA